rnacentral:misc_RNA from 1 species
AGGUUCAAGACUGGCAAGAAUAGGUGGUUUUUCACCAAGCUCAGGUUUUGAGCUUUAUUGUCUUGUUUCUUUCUUUUGCUUAAAUUUUGUUCUGAAGAACUGGGUAUUACGUGAUUUUGAGACUGGUUUAGUAGUAAUUAUUAACUUGGAUAUUGUGAUGUUUUGAUGAACUUGUUCAGAUCUGUUGGGAAGAGUUAUUUCUCAGCAUAUACAAUCUUAGUAUCUUUUU